CCGAAUGGGGAAACCCAGUGUGACUCGUCACACUAUCAUUAACUGAAUCCAUAGGUUAAUGAGGCGAACCGGGGGAACUGAAACAUCUAAGUACCCCGAGGAAAAGAAAUCAACCGAGAUUCCCCCAGUAGCGGCGAGCGAACGGGGAGGAGCCCAGAGCCUGAAUCAGCAUAUGUGUUAGUGGAAGCGUCUGGAAAGGCGCGCGAUACAGGGUGACAGCCCCGUACACAAAAGCGCAUGUGCUGUGAGCUCGAUGAGUAGGGCGGGACACGUGGUAUCCUGUCUGAAUAUGGGGGGACCAUCCUCCAAGGCUAAAUACUCCUGACUGACCGAUAGUGAACCAGUACCGUGAGGGAAAGGCGAAAAGAACCCCGGCGAGGGGAGUGAAAAAGAACCUGAAACCGUGUACGUACAAGCAGUGGGAGC
rnacentral:rRNA from 1 species